CCGACAUUGGAGGAACGUCAGCGAUUGGCAAUUAGAUGAAUUUGUUUCAUCAAAUUCAUUGUCUUCACGGACCCCUCACACUAGACCUCUUUGCGUCUCGGUUGAACCGCCUUUUUCAGCUGGCUCCCAGAUCCCCAAUCCUGGGCAUUCGAUGCAUUUCUACAUCCUUGGCCAGAGACAGGAGCUUAUGCAUUCCUGCCGUUUUCCAUGAUCCAACGCACCCUUUAUCGGGUCAAAACUCUGGUAGUAACGAUAGUCCUUGUGACCCCUUUGUGGAGGACCCAGACUUGGUUACCAACUCUUCUAGAAAUAUCAGUGAAUUACCCAAUUUUAUUGCCUCAAUUCCCCGAAAUUCUCAGGAAUCCAGCAGGGGACUGCCACCCGCUCGCUCUUCAGGAACGGCUCCAGCUUGUAGCUUGGACCGUUUCAGGGGAUCUUGGAAUGUCUUAGGGCUUUCAAAAGCAGGUCAGGUUUUCCUAUGGGACUCCUGGGCCACAGGCACUAGACGCACCUACCUCUCUGCAUGGCAGACAUGGGUCAGCUGGUGUUUGGAAAGGGAUAUUGAUCCCUUUUCAGUACAUCCUUCACCCAUUCUAAAUUUUCUAUCCACCCCUUUCGAUCAAGGCAAAUCCUACAGGUCGAUUAAUGUGUUUCGAUCCGCCAUCUCUGCGGCCAACAACUCUAUUGACAAUUUGUCAAUAGGAAAACACCCUUCUGUUUGUAGACUUUUACGGGGUAUCCGCUUGACCAGACCCCCUCAUCCAAGAUAUUCCAAUUUCUGGGAUGUCACCCAGGUUUUCUCCUUUUUGGAAUCCUGGCUUCCAACGAAACUUGGUUGUUACGCCAACUUUCUGCCAAGUUGGCAUUGCUUCUAUGUUUAGUAUUCUUCUGUAGGGUUUCCGAUAUUCGGGCGCUUGACUACCGUGCUGUAGUUUUCACACCUGAGGGAGUUAAAUUUCCUAUCACCAGAUGUACAAAGACUAAUUCCCCCUCAGUCUUCUAUCCUUGUUUUCCGAACAGACCAUCCCUCUGCGUGGCACGUUGUGUUCAGCAUUAUAUAGAUACCACAGCCACGCUGCGUUUCCCUACGGGGCCCCUUUUGGUUUCUUACAUCAGGCCGCACAAACCGGUCUCCACUCACACUGUCGCACGAUGGAUCAGAUGCAUCCUUGUCCAAGCGGGAAUUGACCCUUACUUUGGAG